GUGCACCAGCGUCCAAAUCUUGCCUUUGGCAUUUCCCUGUACGUUAGCGAUGAUCCGCGAGGUAGCAAUGUGUGCAACACCAUGGCGCGCCAAGUUCCCUGAUCAGGAGGCGCGGCGGGU
rnacentral:ncRNA from 1 species